CCCUCUGGGUUUGUAAACCGCUGUACAAGUGGGGGAACCGUCGGGAGUGAACAGCUACCCGGCCUGACUGCCCGCUAAAGGAAGCCCCGGCAAAACAUGUGC
rnacentral:rRNA from 1 species